rnacentral:rRNA from 1 species
GACGAACGCUGGCGGCGUGCUUAACACAUGCAAGUCGAACGGAAAGGCCCUGCUUUUGUGGGGUGCUCGAGUGGCGAACGGGUGAGUAACACGUGAGUAACCUGCCCUUGACUUUGGGAUAACUUCAGGAAACUGGGGCUAAUACCGGAUAGGAGCUCCUGCUGCAUGGUGGGGGUUGGAAAGUUUCGGCGGUUGGGGAUGGACUCGCGGCUUAUCAGCUUGUUGGUGGGGUAGUGGCUUACCAAGGCUUUGACGGGUAGCCGGCCUGAGAGGGUGGCCGGCCACAUUGGGACUGAGAUACGGCCCGGACUCCUACGGGAGGCAGCAGUGGGGAAUAUUGCACAAUGGGCGGAAGCCUGAUGCAGCAACGCCGCGUGCGGGAUGACGGCCUUCGGGUUGUAAACCGCUUUCGCCUGUGACGAAGCGUGAGUGACGGUAAUGGGUAAAGAAGCACCGGCUAACUACGUG